CACAGAAGCUACGGAGGCCGCCUCGUCUGCAGCUGAAAACGCAGGGUCUGGCGGGGGUGCUGUAACAUAUACCAGCAUGCAUUGGGCGAGAGGAAGGAAUACACCCUGGACAGGCUGCCAAUGUAGUGGGUCAUGAGGUGCUGGAGCCUAUCCCAGCAUGCAUUGGGCUCAGGGCAGAAACAAUCCCUGGACAGGGUGCCAGCCCAUUCCAGGACGAUGAUAAGUUGAGCAUGAAAAAAAAUCCAGGAGACAAAAGGAUAUCUACAGUGGACUGCAUUAGGCCCUGGAGAAUAGUUAAAUAGUCCUGGUUUAUAGCUUCCAUUAUUUAGAGGACACAUUUCAACCAAUUCUGAGCUAAUUCUGUUAUAAUGCAUACUUGGGUGCAUUCAUCAGACUCCUUCUCCUACCAGAGAGAGCAAAAAGACAAAAAAAAUAAAAUAAAUAAAACUCUCAAAAACAGCACUUUGGUGCCACCUAGGAUUUUGCUCCACACUCUGAAAGUGAAUUUGGAUUUUAGACGCCCUAGAAUAUACUACUCUGUCAACACAUUGUUUUUAGGUUAAACAUUUAGAACAUCAUGAGAUGGUAAUGCAUCCACGUAACAUCACGUCCAGAUCAAUAUUAAUCUCUGGCUAAGUUUCGAUCCUAACUUUAUUCAUUAAAUCCAAUCCUGUCCAAAAACAGCACAUACUAUUUGUCCCAAGACCAAAACACUUUCAGAGAGGGAAUCAUCAAGUCAAUGUUAUAAUAAAGGUGUUUGAAGUCUUGUUUGUGGUGUUAGGAAACACUAAAUAGACGCAAGAGGAGCAUCAGACUUUCUGAUAAUUUCUGUGAAAGCAGUCAAGGACAUUUGCACAAACCAUUGGCUACAUUUACGUUGAUUACGCAAUGACGUUGCGUCCUCACGUAGAUUAUAUAAUAAACCGGUAACAUCGGACAACUUCCUUUUCAAGUUGUGCCGGACCACGCCUGAUGAGUGACUGUGAAAGACCCCUGCAGACCCAUCCAUCUCACCCCCUCCUGGGCCGGAAGCCUGGCAUAAUGCACAGCGCAUGUACACGGUCACAGACCCAUCCUCACAAUCCCCAGCUGUACUCCAAAAGAAGUGAAUGAGAAGGCAGUUAUGCAGGUGGGGAGAUUGCCCACCCUGUUAUAGUGUUUGGGUAUGCCCAGACUCCAUGUGGCCUCUGAUGGAAGUGCUGCUACAACAAAAACUGGUGUCUUUGUGCGCUACGGCUAAGUGACCAAUCGCUGCCAUGCUGAAGGGCUCUGUGGUCAGGACCAGAGAGAGAGCGCCGACUUCGUUCUAGGUCCAACUGCUGACACUUUGACGCUCUGAAUUUGGGACCAUUCGUGUCCAGAUUGUGGAGGAAAAAUAAUCCAUUCUUGGUACCACUGAAGGAAGCCAUCACCAAGGAGAUGUCCGCUUGAAGUCCGACCCUCCCAUGUAUUUCUGGAGGUGUGGUAUUUGUCAUGCCCUGCAGCAGGGACCUGUUCAAUAAAAAUAAAUGAAAUCGCAUUG